rnacentral:rRNA from 1 species
CAAAAACAUAGUCAUGUGGAAUGGUACGUGGUAACUUCUGCUCAAUGAAAUAAAUAGCUGCAGUACCCUGACUGUGCUAAGGUAGCGCAAUCAAUUGACUUUUAAUUGGAGUCCUGAAUGAAAGAAUGUAUGGGGGGUGACUCUAUUGAGGGUAUAUAGUGAAAUUGAUUUGUAAGUGAAAAAGCUUACAUAUAAAUAAUAGACGAGAAGACCCUAGAAAUUUUACAGAACAGGAGGUUUGCGUACUUUUUGUUGGGGCAACAUAGUAACAUAUAAUUUACUUGUAGGACAAGAAAAAUGUUUUGUGGAAGACGAAAUUACUCUAGGGAUAACAGCACAAUUCAUAAAGUUUAUGACCUCGAUGUUGGACUAGGGCGUAGUUGUUUAGAAGAUCUACUAUCUUGCUCUGUUCGAGC